rnacentral:sRNA from 1 species
AGAAAAGUGACCGCCGCCCCGCGCAGGGGCGACGCUAGCAGACCGUUCGCAAUACAGGUUCAAAGGCAGAGCGCGGAUAACCGACCGAACAAAACCCACGCCCCCGCGAGCACUCU